CCUACGGGAGGCAGCAGUGAGGAAUAUUGGUCAAUGGACGAGAGUCUGAACCAGCCAAGUAGCGUGAAGGAUGACUGCCCUAUGGGUUGUAAACUUCUUUUAUAUGGGAAUAAAACGUUCCACGUGUGGGAUUUUGUAUGUACCAUAUGAAUAAGGAUCGGCUAACUCCGUGCCAGCAGCCGCGGUAAUACGGAGGAUCCGAGCGUUAUCCGGAUUUAUUGGGUUUAAAGGGAGCGUAGGUGGAUUGUUAAGUCAGUUGUGAAAGUUUGCGGCUCAACCGUAAAAUUGCAGGUGAAACUGGCAGUCUUGAGUACAGUAGAGGUGGGCGGAAUUCGUGGUGUAGCGGUGAAAUGCUUAGAUAUCACGAAGAACUCCGAUUGCGAAGGCAGUUCACUGGACUGCAACUGACACUGAGGCUCGAAAGUGUGGGUAUCAAACAGGAUUAGAUACCCUUGUAGUC
rnacentral:rRNA from 1 species